UACGUAGGGGGCAAGCGUUGUUCGGAUUUACUGGGCGUAAAGGGCGCGUAGGCGGCCACCGCAAGUCGACUGUGAAAUCUCCGGGCUUAACCCGGAAAGGUCAGCCGAUACUGCGGGGCUAGAGUGCAGAAGGGGCAACUGGAAUUCUCGGUGUAGCGGUGAAAUGCGUAGAUAUCGAGAGGAACACCUGCGGCGAAGGCGGGUUGCUGGGCUGACACUGACGCUGAGGCGCGAAAGCGUGGGGAGCAAACCGG
rnacentral:rRNA from 1 species